UACGAAGGUCCCAAGCGUUGUUCGGAAUCACUGGGCGUAAAGCGUGUGUAGGCUGCGCGGAAAGUCGGAUGUGAAAGCCUGGGGCUCAACCCCGGAACUGCAUUCGAUACUCCCGCGCUAGAGUGAUGGAGAGGUAACUGGAAUUCUCGGUGUAGCAGUGAAAUGCGUAGAUAUCGAGAGGAACACCCAUGGCGAAAGCAAGUUACUGGACAUCUACUGACGCUCAGACACGAAGGCUAGGGGAGCGAAAGGG
rnacentral:rRNA from 1 species